rnacentral:tRNA from 1 species
GCUCAGGUGGUGGAAUGGCAGACACGCAUGCUUGAGGUGCAUGUGCCGUAAGGUGUCCGGGUUCAAGUCCCGGCCUGAGCACCA